rnacentral:rRNA from 1 species
UACGUAGGGUGCAAGCGUUAAUCGGAAUUACUGGGCGUAAAGCGUGCGCAGGCGGUUAUGCAAGACAGAUGUGAAAUCCCCGGGCUCAACCUGGGAACUGCAUUUGUGACUGCAUGGCUAGAGUACGGUAGAGGGGGAUGGAAUUCCGCGUGUAGCAGUGAAAUGCGUAGAUAUGCGGAGGAAUACCGGUGGCGAAAGCGACUCUCUGGACGGCAACUGACGCUGAGGCACGAAAGCGUGGGGAGCAAACAGG